UACGUAGGGGGCAAGCGUUGUCCGGAAUCAUUGGGCGUAAAGAGCGUGUAGGCGGUUCGGUAAGUCGGCUGUGAAAGUCCAGGGCUCAACCCUGGGAUGCCGGUCGAUACCGCCGGACUAGAGUUCGGAAGAGGCGAGUGGAAUUCCCGGUGUAGCGGUGAAAUGCGCAGAUAUCGGGAGGAACACCUAUGGCGAAGGCAGCUCGCUGGGACGUUACUGACGCUGAGGAGCGAAAGCGUGGGGAGCGAACAGG
rnacentral:rRNA from 1 species